rnacentral:rRNA from 1 species
GAUGAACGCUGGCGGCGUGCCUAAUACAUGCAAGUCGAGCGAACAGACGAGGAGCUUGCUCCUCUGACGUUAGCGGCGGACGGGUGAGUAACACGUGGAUAACCUACCUAUAAGACUGGGAUAACUUCGGGAAACCGGAGCUAAUACCGGAUAAUAUAUUGAACCGCAUGGUUCAAUAGUGAAAGACGGUUUUGCUGUCACUUAUAGAUGGAUCCGCGCCGCAUUAGCUAGUUGGUAAGGUAACGGCUUACCAAGGCAACGAUGCGUAGCCGACCUGAGAGGGUGAUCGGCCACACUGGAACUGAGACACGGUCCAGACUCCUACGGGAGGCAGCAGUAGGGAAUCUUCCGCGAUGGACGAAAGCCUGACGGAGCAACGCCGCGUGAGUGAUGAAGGUCUUCGGAUCGUAAAACUCUGUUAUUAGGGAAGAACAAAUGUGUAAGUAACUAUGCACGUCUUGACGGUACCUAAUCAGAAAGCCACGGCUAACUACGUG